GAUGGCGACCGGCGCGCGGGUGAGUAACACGUAUCCAACCUGCCGAUAACUCGGGGAUAACCCUUCGAAAGAAGGCCUAAUACCCGAUGGCAUAUCCCUUCCGCCUGGUGGGGAUAUUAAAGAACUUCGGUUAUCGAUGGGGAUGCGUUCCAUUAGCUUGUUGGCGGGGUAACGGCCCACCAAGGCUUCGAUGGAUAGGGGUUCUGAGAGGAAGGUCCCCCACAUUGGAACUGAGACACGGUCCAAACUCCUACGGGAGGCAGCAGUGAGGAAUAUUGGUCAAUGGACGAGAGUCUGAACCAGCCAAGUAGCGUGAAGGAUGAAGGUCCUAUGGAUUGUAAACUUCUUUUAUACGGGAAUAAAGUGCAGUAUGCAUACUGUUUUGUAUGUACCGUAUGAAUAAGGAUCGGCUAACUCCGUGCCAGCAGCCGCGGUAAUACGGAGGAUCCGAGCGUUAUCCGGAUUUAUUGGGUUUAAAGGGAGCGUAGGCGGAUGCUUAAGUCAGUUGUGAAAGUUUGCGGCUCAACCGUAAAAUUGCAGUUGAUACUGGGCGUCUUGAGUACAGUAGAGGCAGGCGGAAUUCGUGGUGUAGCGGUGAAAUGCUUAGAUAUCACGAAGAACUCCGAUUGCGAAGGCAGCCUGCUGGACUGUCACUGACGCUGAUGCUCGAAA
rnacentral:rRNA from 1 species